GCUCAGGAUGAACGCUAGCUACAGGCUUAACACAUGCAAGUCGAGGGGCAUCAGGAAGAAAGCUUGCUUUCUUUGCUGGCGACCGGCGCACGGGUGAGUAACACGUAUCCAACCUGCCCUUUACUCGGGGAUAGCCUUUCGAAAGAAAGAUCAAUACCCGAUAGCAUAAUGAUUCCGCAUGGUUUCAUUAUUAAAGGAUUCCGGUAAAGGAUGGGGAUGCGUUCCAUUAGGUUGUUGGUGAGGUAACGGCCCACCAAGCCUUCGAUGGAUAGGGGUUCUGAGAGGAAGGUCCCCCACAUUGGAACUGAGACACGGUCCAAACUCCUACGGGAGGCAGCAGUGAGGAAUAUUGGUCAAUGGGCGCUAGCCUGAACCAGCCAAGUAGCGUGAAGGAUGAAGGCUCUAUGGGUCGUAAACUUCUUUUAUAUAAGAAUAAAGUGCAGUAUGUAUACUGUUUUGUAUGUAUUAUAUGAAUAAGGAUCGGCUAACUCCGUGCCAGCAGCCGCGGUAAUACGGAGGAUCCGAGCGUUAUCCGGAUUUAUUGGGUUUAAAGGGAGCGUAGGUGGACUGGUAAGUCAGUUGUGAAAGUUUGCGGCUCAACCGUAAAAUUGCAGUUGAUACUGUCAGUCUUGAGUACAGUAGAGGUGGGCGGAAUUCGUGGUGUAGCGGUGAAAUGCUUAGAUAUCACGAAGAACUCCGAUUGCGAAGGCAGCUCACUGGACUGCAACUGACACUGAUGCUCGAAAGUGUGGGUAUCAAACAGGAUUAGAUACCCUGGUAGUCCACACAGUAAACGAUGAAUACUCGCUGUUUGCGAUAUACAGUAAGCGGCCAAGCGAAAGCAUUAAGUAUUCCACCUGGGGGAGUACGCCGGCAACGGUGAAACUCAAAGGAAUUGACGGGGGCCCGCACAAGCGGAGGAACAUGUGGUUUAAUUCGAUGAUACGUGAGGAACCUUACCCGGGCUUAAAUUGCAGUGGAAUGAUGUGGAAACAUGUCAGUGAGCAAUCGCCGCUGUGAAGGUGCUGCAUGGUUGUCGUCAGCUCGUGCCGUGAGGUGUCGGCUUAAGUGCCAUAACGAGCGCAACCCUUAUCUUUAGUUACUAACAGGUCAUGCUGAGGACUCUAGAGAGACUGCCGUCGUAAGAUGUGAGGAAGGUGGGGAUGACGUCAAAUCAGCACGGCCCUUACGUCCGGGGCUACACACGUGUUACAAUGGGGGGUACAGAAGGCAGCUAGCGGGUGACCGUAUGCUAAUCCCAAAAUCCUCUCUCAGUUCGGAUCGAAGUCUGCAACCCGACUUCGUGAAGCUGGAUUCGCUAGUAAUCGCGCAUCAGCCACGGCGCGGUGAAUACGUUCCCGGGCCUUGUACACACCGCCCGUCAAGCCAUGGGAGCCGGGGGUACCUGAAGUACGUAACCGCAAGGAUCGUCCUAGGGUAAAACUG
rnacentral:rRNA from 1 species